rnacentral:rRNA from 1 species
GACGAACCGUCCAAACGUUAUUCGGAAUCACUGGGCUUAAAGGGUGCGUAGGCGGCUCGGCAAGUUGGGUGUGAAAGCCCUCGGCUCAACCGAGGAAUUGCGCCCAAAACUGCCGGGCUAGAGGGAGACAGAGGUGAGCGGAACUUAGGGUGGAGCGGUGAAAUGCUUUGAUAUCCUAAGGAACACCGGUAGCGAAAGCGGCUCACUGGGUCUUUUCUGACGCUGAGGCACGAAAGCUAGGGGAGCGAACGGG